rnacentral:rRNA from 1 species
CCUACGGGCGGCAGCAGUGGGGAAUAUUGCACAAUGGGGGAAACCCUGAUGCAGCGACGCCGCGUGAGUGAAGAAGUAUUUCGGUAUGUAAAGCUCUAUCAGCAGGGAAGAUAAUGACGGUACCUGAGUAAGAAGCCCCGGCUAACUACGUGCCAGCAGCCGCGGUAAUACGUAGGGGGCAAGCGUUAUCCGGAUUUACUGGGUGUAAAGGGAGCGUAGGCGGCAUGGCAAGUCUGAAGUGAAAGCCCGGGGCCCAACCGCGGGACUGCUUUGGAAACUGUUAAGCUGGAGUGCAGGAGAGGUAAGUGGAAUUCCUAGUGUAGCGGUGAAAUGCGUAGAUAUUAGGAGGAACACCAGUGGCGAAGGCGGCUUACUGGACUGUAACUGACGUUGAGGCUCGAAAGCGUGGGGAGCAAACAGGAUUAGAUACCCGGGUAGUC